CAUGAGUGUAUAAAAUGAGUGUAUAAAAUAAAAAGCAUUAAUGUCCAAUUAAACGCCACUGAGCGGUCCUUCGAAUUAUGAACUCCUCACGGGCAAGCGAGCGUAUUGAGAUGCUUGGCACAUUUUGAUUUGGCCUUACCGAGGCACACUAAAAACACAGA
rnacentral:lncRNA from 1 species